CAAUAGCGUAUAUUAGAGUUGUUGCAGUUAAAAAGCUCGUAGUUGGAUUUCUGGUAGGAGUGACCGUUCCGAACUUGAUUGUUCGUGUAUUGUGUUCUCUCCAGCCAUCCUUGUGGAGAACUUUUCUUGCAUUAAUUUGUAGGGAUUGGGACCCGCAUCGUUUACUGUGAAAAAAUUAGAGUGUUUAAAGCAGGCAAUCGCUUGAAUACAUUAGCAUGGAAUAAUAAGAUAGGACUUUGGUACUAUUUUGUUGGUUUGCAUACCAAAUUAAUGAUCAACAGGAACAGUUUGAGGAUAUUCGUAUGAACAUGUCAGAGGUGAAAUUCUUGGAUUUUGAUCAGACGAACUACUGCGAAAGCAUUUAUCAAGGAUGUUUUCAUUAA
rnacentral:rRNA from 1 species